AUUUCUUCGUCUAGGGUUUGUUCUUCGCUCGGCAACAUCUGUUCGCAUUGCCAUUUCGUCUUCUCCAUUUCUUCGUGUAGGUAUGGCGUUCGUCUUCUCCAUUUCUCCGACUAGGUUUGAAAAAUGUAUUCCUAAUUUCUCCGUCUAGGGUUCUUUCUUCGGCCUUGGCGCUUUUUCAAUGAUUUUUUGUGAGUAAUAUGUAAGAAGACAAUAUUUUUAAGUUUUUUCAUGGAACAUAAAGUGUAUUUGUGUUGUGUUUCUCUUUCCCGUCUUCUUCAUGCUUAAUUUUAAAAUCUCGGUUUGUAAAUCUACUUAUAAACUAAUUCAUGCAUCAUCAAAUGGAGGUUCACUUACAGGCUAUGUUCUGAAUUCUUUGUUACUUGCAAGCUAAUUCCAGAAAGCAAAUUUUGUUUAGAAACGUAGUCAGCUAUCUUAUUUUCUGUUUUGAGAUACUUCCUUCAGCUCUCAUUAACAGGUUUUGAAGUCCUGCCAGACACUUCCUUCAGCUCUUCAGUAACAGUUAUUGUCGAUUUGUGAAAUGAGUUCGAGCCGCUCGAUGACAUCAAUGCGAAACCUGAACAUCCCAAUAUAUUGUCAUUGUAAUAUGCAAUGUUCAAUUUAUACUUACUAUAAAGCUAAUAAUCGUGGCAGAAAAUUCUAUCGAUGUCCCCGGAACAAAUCAGAGGAUGAUUGUAGAUUUUUUAGGUGGUUUGACGAACGAAAUGGUUUAUCGGAAGAUAUGAAACAUAUUACAAGUGCAAAUGCAGCUGAAGUCCUUUCCAACCA